rnacentral:rRNA from 1 species
AAAUUGAAGAGUUUGAUCAUGGCUCAGAUUGAACGCUGGCGGCAGGCCUAACACAUGCAAGUCGAACGGUAACAGGAAGCAGCUUGCUGCUUCGCUGACGAUGGCGGACGGGUGAGUAAUGUCUGGGAAACUGCCUGAUGGAGGGGGAUAACUACUGGAAACGGUGGCUAAUACCGCAUAACGUCGCAAGACCAAAGAGGGGGACCUUCGGGCCUCUUGCCAUCAGAUGUGCCCAGAUGGGAUUAGCUAGUUGGUGAGGUAACGGCUCACCAAGGCGACGAUCCCUAGCUGGUCUGAGAGGAUGACCAGCCACACUGGAACUGAGACACGGUCCAGACUCCUACGGGAGGCAGCAGUGGGGAAUAUUGCACAAUGGGCGCAAGCCUGAUGCAGCCAUGCCGCGUGUAUGAAGAAGGCCUUCGGGUUGUAAAGUACUUUCAGCGGGGAGGAAGGUGUUGUGGUUAAUAACCACAGCAAUUGACGUUACCCGCAGAAGAAGCACCGGCUAACUCCGUGCCAGCAGCCGCGGUAAUACGGAGGGUGCAAGCGUUAAUCGGAAUUACUGGGCGUAAAGCGCACGCAGGCGGUCUGUCAAGUCGGAUGUGAAAUCCCCGGGCUCAACCUGGGAACUGCAUUCGAAACUGGCAGGCUUGAGUCUUGUAGAGGGGGGUAGAAUUCCAGGUGUAGCGGUGAAAUGCGUAGAGAUCUGGAGGAAUACCGGUGGCGAAGGCGGCCCCCUGGACAAAGACUGACGCUCAGGUGCGAAAGCGUGGGGAGCAAACAGGAUUAGAUACCCUGGUAGUCCACGCCGUAAACGAUGUCUACUUGGAGGUUGUGCCCUUGAGGCGUGGCUUCCGGAGCUAACGCGUUAAGUAGACCGCCUGGGGAGUACGGCCGCAAGGUUAAAACUCAAAUGAAUUGACGGGGGCCCGCACAAGCGGUGGAGCAUGUGGUUUAAUUCGAUGCAACGCGAAGAACCUUACCUGGUCUUGACAUCCACAGAAGAAUCCAGAGAUGGAUUUGUGCCUUCGGGAACUGUGAGACAGGUGCUGCAUGGCUGUCGUCAGCUCGUGUUGUGAAAUGUUGGGUUAAGUCCCGCAACGAGCGCAACCCUUAUCCUUUGUUGCCAGCGGUUAGGCCGGGAACUCAAAGGAGACUGCCAGUGAUAAACUGGAGGAAGGUGGGGAUGACGUCAAGUCAUCAUGGCCCUUACGACCAGGGCUACACACGUGCUACAAUGGCGCAUACAAAGAGAAGCGACCUCGCGAGAGCAAGCGGACCUCAUAAAGUGCGUCGUAGUCCGGAUUGGAGUCUGCAACUCGACUCCAUGAAGUCGGAAUCGCUAGUAAUCGUGGAUCAGAAUGCCACGGUGAAUACGUUCCCGGGCCUUGUACACACCGCCCGUCACACCAUGGGAGUGGGUUGCAAAAGAAGUAGGUAGCUUAACCUUCGGGAGGGCGCUUACCACUUUGUGAUUCAUGACUGGGGUGAAGUCGUAACAAGGUAACCGUAGGGGAACCUGCGGUUGGAUCACCUCCUUACCUUAAAGAA